AGCACAACGCGCUCUGUUGGACCCACACACCGCUUGGCUACCUUAUCUCUCUAUUCAGUCACGCAUGCGAUGCGCUCUCCUCCACUCCUUUUUCUUCUGUCCCCAAAACACGCCUGUGCUAGUUCUUAUCUCGAUCUGCAUCGCCGUCGGCGCGGCACACAAAUCUCAUCCCCGACUACAAACCUCUCACCGAUGGGAGAGUCGCCCCAGAUUUGUGGUGAGCCAGCCACGGCGGCGCCCGAUGUUGACUACUGCGAGCCACGAGCGCGGCCGCACAACUCCGCUUCCUCGCGCUGGAGUUAGUGCUGCCACCGCCGGCGAUGUGGCGGACCAUCUUUUGGUGCUGCAAUCAGCUACGCCCUUCGAUGGCGGAGUUGCAUCCGUGCACACCGGAGCUGCAACCGGCGUUUUUGGGAGCUGCAAGCGGUGCAGCUCGACGAUGACGACGAGCCAGAGGGCGGCGACGUGAUGGGCGGGCGACAUCGCGCGCAUGGCUUGGUGGACCACGGCAGACCAUGACGGCCAUCGUUUUUUGCUGGGAGGACGCAUUACCAGCGAGGAAGUGACCCGUGCGGGGGGAUAAUACGAGCGUUGUUAAUUUGACGGCUCACGCGCGACCGGCCGAACUGUUGGGCCGGCGCGCCGGCGCCUAUCAGUUCCCUUUAAUAAAGCACGCACUGGAGUGUGAGUGCACCCACCUUCACUUA